rnacentral:rRNA from 1 species
AACUAACGCUGGCGGCGUGCCUAACACAUGCAAGUCGUACGAGAAAGCCGGCUUCGGCUGGUGAGUAAAGUGGCGCACGGGUGAGUAACGCGUGGAUAAUCUGCCCUUAAGUGUGGAAUAACGUACCGAAAGGUGCGCUAAUACCGCAUAAUGCCUGACAACACAAGUUGUCCGGCCAAAGAAGGCCUCUGUUUACAAGCUUUCGCUUCAGGAUGAGUCCGCGUACCAUUAGCUUGUUGGUGGGGUAAUGGCCUACCAAGGCUGCGAUGGUUAGCUGGUCUGAGAGGAUGAUCAGCCACACUGGAACUGAGACACGGUCCAGACUCCUACGGGAGGCAGCAGUGAGGAAUAUUGCGCAAUGGGGGCAACCCUGACGCAGCAACGCCGCGUGAGUGAGGAAGGUUUUCGGACUGUAAAGCUCUGUCGAGCGGGAAGAAGUGUACCAUGGCUAAUAUCCAUGAUAUUUGACGGUACCGCUAGAGG